UGAGAUUGUGCCACUGCAAUUCAGCCUAGGCGACAAAGUGAGGCUGUACCUCAAAAACAUUUUAAAAAUAAAAAGAACAUCUGAAAAGUUUCCAAAAUGUAAAGGAAGUGUUUACAAAGUGAAUAGGAUUAGAUUGACAUUGGAACUGUCACCAGCAAUUUGGAUACAAGAAGCCUCAAGUUAUUCAAGUUGGAGGGCAAAAUAAUGACAUUUUUGGGAAUUCAGGGACUCAGAAUUUACCUCUGUAAGAAGUACUAGGGGAUACUCCAACGAAAUGGAAAAUCUUAAAAGUAGAUUUGGGAUCCAAGAAUAUUGACCAAAACCACAUGUUGUAGAGUAGAAAUAAGUGUAACUAGUGGUGAUAGUAAAAUAAGAACGGAAGUAAAAUACCAAAUGAUUCCUAUAAGUGAGACAAGAAUCCGACUUUAAAAACUUUUUAUAGAGAAUCACUAUAUUGCCCAGGUUGAUCUUGAAGUCCUAGCCUCAAGCAGUUCUCUCACUUUCCUCCCAAAGUGCUGGGAUUACAGAUGUGAGCCACUGUACCCAGCCAAAUAAAUGGCUUUUUCUAAAAGAAACUACAGAUUGGUUAAUUUUAAGCACUUAUAGAAAAAUCUAAGUUGGAAUUCUUGGGUGAAUAAUAACUACAGAAAGAAUAGUGUUAUGUAUGUUCAUAUAAAUAAAUACAGUUUGACUCCACUGCAUCUUAUCUAUUUUUCUAGUGAUGAACACCUGUGAUGCUGCCAGUUUCUCUACUUCCCCGCUGCCAUAGACAAUGCAGUGAGUAAAUUUUUUGGCAUCAAUUUUCUGGCCAUGAUGGAUUUACCAUAUCUCCUGAACUGAAUAAAAACAGACAAAAUAUUUGAAACAAUGAUUUUCAAAAUACUGGACAUCAAGCAAUGAAGGACAGUGGUCCCUGAAGGAUGGAGAAAAAAAGAGGUGAGCACUAUGAUUAUCCUCAGAUUACUACCUUGAUAGAAUUUCCAGGCCAUGGAAAAAGAAGGGAGAACCCUGUAGAGCCUGACACACUUUCUAUGUUGAGGAAGUGGAGCUAAGAGUUUAGAGAAACCAACAAAGGUACAGUUGACAUGGUAGGAUAAUGGAGAGGACAAGGCUGCACACAGAGAACUCCAAAGAACUGCAUAGGGUUGUCUUUGUGAAGUCACCCAAGUACUGCAGCACAUGUGUGUGAGGAGAGUGCCCAAGAUUGGGGAAAGAACUACCUGAAAGGAUUAGAGGUAACAGUAACCUGCACUUGCAGUUAACAGUCCUCACACAAAAUGGGUAAUACCUAUUCCUAUCAGCAAGGCUGGAAAACUUCAUGAUUCACAAGCAUAGGGUAGGGUAUACAAAAGGAUCUUGCAUCAGUGGUGGGUAAUAAUUAACCCUAGAUUAAUAUCUGCUUCAGUCACACCUAAUACAUCUUAAAAAUAAGACCUAGAAGGAUUACACUGUUUCCAAGUAAUAUAACUGUAAACCAGAAUGAAUCUCAAGAAUAUUUAUAGGCAUACAGUAAUACCUGGCACCCACAACAUAAAAUUCACAUCUGCCAUCCAACAAAAAAGUACCAAACAUGCAAAGAAACAGAAAAAUAUGACCCAUAAUGAGGUAAAUAAAUCAAAACUGACCUCAAAGCUGACACAUAUGUUCGAAUUCAGAUAAUGGCAUUAAUAUGAUUAUUACUAUAUUCUAUAUAAUCAUAAAGUUGAGACAUUAAAGCUUUUUAAAUGUGAAUUGAAUUUUUAGAAAUGAAAACUACACUUGUAGAAGUGAAUCCCACACUAGAAAUGAGUGAGGUAUAUAACACAAUGAGUAAGAUUAACAGCAGAUCGCACAGUGCAGAACAAAAUAUUACUAAAUUUGAAGACAAAAUAAUAGGAACUCCAAAAAGAAGCUUAGAGAUUUUAGAGAAUUUUUUAAAAUGAACAAUAACUAUAAAUUAUGGGUCAAUUUCACUAAUACAUGUAUAAUUAGAGUUUUUGAAGGGGAAAAGAGGGGCCAGAAAGAAAAAGAAAUAAUAACUGAAUAUUUUCCAAAUUUGAUAAAAAUUAAAAACCCAUAGGCCCAAGAAACUCAACAAACCCUGAACACAAGAAACAUGUAGGAAACUAUACCAAGGAGCAUUAUAAUCAAAUUACUCAAAGCCAGUGAUAAGGUGAAAACCUUAAAAGCAGCCAGAGGAAAAAAGACAUGCACAGAAAAAUAAAGACAAAGGUAAUGGCAGAUUUCUUGCCUGAAAGAAUGCAAGUGAGAAGACAAUAGAAUAACACCUUUAAACUAAUUAAAGAAGAAAAUUUUCAACCUAGAAUUCUAUAUGUACCAAAAAGUAUCUUUGAAAAAAUAAAGAGAAAAAAAAGUUUUUAUGACAUAUAAAAACUUACACCAUUCAAGCUCACACUAUAAGAAAUAUUAAAGGAAGUACUUUAGGCAGAAAGGAAAUUAUACUAGAUUGAAGUCUGGAUUUACACAGAGGAAUGAAGAGCACCAGAAUUGGUAAUUACAUGGGUAAACAUUUUUUAAAAUUUUUAUUAUUUAAAUGUCUUCAAUAUUAUACAAAAGUAAUAGAAAAUUUCUUGCCUGAAAGAAUACAAGUAAAAAGACAAUAGAAUAACACCUUUAAUCUAAUGAAGGAAAAAAAUUUUCAACCUAGAAUUCUAUAUGUACCAAACAGUAUCUUUGAAAAAAUAAAGAGAAAAAAAGUUUUUAUGACAUAUAAAACUUACACCAUUCAAGCUCACACUAUAAGAAAUAUUAAAGGAAGUACUUUAGGCAGAAAGAAAAUUAUACUAGAUUGAAGUCUGGAUUUACACGGAGGAAUGAAGAGCACCAGAAUUGGUAAUUACAUGGGUAAACAUU